rnacentral:rRNA from 1 species
UCCUACGGGAGGCAGCAGUGGGGAAUAUUGCACAAUGGGCGAAAGCCUGAUGCAGCGACGCCGCGUGAGGGAUGACGGCCUUCGGGUUGUAAACCUCUUUCAGUAGGGAAGAAGCGAAAGUGACGGUACCUGCAGAAGAAGCACCGGCUAACUACGUGCCAGCAGCCGCGGUAAUACGUAGGGUGCGAGCGUUAUCCGGAAUUAUUGGGCGUAAAGAGCUCGUAGGCGGUUUGUCGCGUCUGUCGUGAAAGUCCGGGGCUUAACCCCGGAUCUGCGGUGGGUACGGGCAGACUAGAGUGCAGUAGGGGAGACUGGAAUUCCUGGUGUAGCGGUGGAAUGCGCAGAUAUCAGGAGGAACACCGAUGGCGAAGGCAGGUCUCUGGGCUGUAACUGACGCUGAGGAGCGAAAGCAUGGGGAGCGAACAGGAUUAGAUACCCUGGUAGUCCAUGCCGUAAACGUUGGGCACUAGGUGUGGGGACCAUUCCACGGUUUCCGCGCCGCAGCUAACGCAUUAAGUGCCCCGCCUGGGGAGUACGGCCGCAAGGCUAAAACUCAAAUGAAUUGACGGAA